rnacentral:rRNA from 1 species
UACGAAGGGGGCUAGCGUUGUUCGGAAUUACUGGGCGUAAAGCGCGCGCAGGCGGUCUUUCAAGUCAGAGGUGAAAGCCCGGAGCUCAACUCCGGAACUGCCAUUGAAACUGUUUAGCUUGAGUAUGAGAGAGGUGAGUGGAAUUCCCAGUGUAGAGGUGAAAUUCGUAGAUAUUGGGAAGAACACCGGUGGCGAAGGCGGCUCACUGGCUCAUUACUGACGCUCAGGCGCGACAGCGUGGGGAGCAAACAGG